rnacentral:rRNA from 1 species
GAAUGCUAUCAUACCAGCACUAAUGCACCGGAUCCCAUCGAACUCCGCAGUUAAGCGUGCUUGGGCAAGAGUAGUACUAGUAUGGGUGACUUCCCGGAAAGUCCUCGUGUUGCAUCCC